GUUAAGUUUGCUACAGUUGUUUAGUGUGAGUUCCUUGAAUCAGUACAAGACUUGGAAUCUGGGACAAAGAAUCGGACAGCUGUCAAGAAAAAUAAUCUGCUGGCCUAUUGUAGCUUCAGUGAUAUGGCACUUCUGGAGAUGUUUGAGAUUGCAGAGAGGCACUUGAAAGGAAGGGAGUCCUGGUUGUGGGACUUGGGGCCUUUGCUGUGGUCCAAGAGCAAUUCCACAGCAAAGAAGGGGUGGCCAUGGUUCGAAGACCUGUCUUUCAUCUGGACAUCAGUGCACAGUGGCUGCAGGACUUCUGGUCUCCCACUGAGAUCAUCCCUGGUGAGAAGGCAGCAGCUACCUUCUUCCCCUUCUGGCCCAAUGUCCGGCAGGGUGUGUUCUCCCCACUCUUUGGAAAGGGCUGGGAGAAGCAGAGAACUGUCUGCCAAGGUGCCGGUACAGCUCAAGUUCCUCCAAAAGAACCUGCACCCCAAGAGCUGUUUCUCUAAAGGACCUUUUCUCUGGGAUUUGGUUACAAAUGUUGCAUGGAAAUGUGGCUUGCUGUGGCAGUGAGGAUGUUCCUUCUCCUUACAGACGAUGUCAAGAUGGAGCCGCUGAACUACCGGCAGCUCUUGCAAGCUACCGCCAUCCUGCUGCACGUGGUGCAGAGCUGCAUGCAAGAGACCAUCCUCUUGUACUGUCUUCUCCUGAGCAACAAGGUGCACAUCCCAUUCGCCUUCCAUGGGAUCGGCAUCCUGCUGUGUGAAGAUAACCUCCUUUGCAUGAGGUUCUAUCACAGCUGUGUGAUGAUGGAGGGGACUGCAAGCCUGGUUGCACUGCUCCACAGUGUAAG
ensembl:lncRNA